GAUGGACGCUGGCGGCGUGCCUAAUACAUGCAAGUCGAGCGAACUGAUUAGAAGCUUGCUUCUAUGACGUUAGCGGCGGACGGGUGAGUAACACGUGGGCAACCUGCCUGUAAGACUGGGAUAACUUCGGGAAACCGAAGCUAAUACCGGAUAGGAUCUUCUCCUUCAUGGGAGAUGAUUGAAAGAUGGUUUCGGCUAUCACUUACAGAUGGGCCCGCGGUGCAUUAGCUAGUUGGUGAGGUAACGGCUCACCAAGGCAACGAUGCAUAGCCGACCUGAGAGGGUGAUCGGACACACUGGGACUGAGACACGGCCCAGACUCCUACGGGAGGCAGCAGUAGGGAAUCUUCCGCAAUGGACGAAAGUCUGACGGAGCAACGCCGCGUGAGUGAUGAAGGCUUUCGGGUCGUAAAACUCUGUUGUUAGCGAAGAACAAGUACGAGAGUAACUGCUCGUACCUUGACGGUACCUAGCCAGAAAGCCACGGCUAACUACGUGCCAGCAGCCGCCGUAAGAC
rnacentral:rRNA from 1 species